GAUGAACGCUGGCGGCGUGCCUAAUACAUGCAAGUCGAGCGAACGGACGAGAAGCUUGCUUCUCUGAUGUUAGCGGCGGACGGGUGAGUAACACGUGGAUAACCUACCUAUAAGACUGGGAUAACUUCGGGAAACCGUAGCUAAUACCGGAUAAUAUUUUGAACCGCAUGGUUCAAAAGUGAAAGACGGUCUUGCUGUCACUUAUAGAUGGAUCCGCGCUGUAUUAGCUAGUUGGUAAGGUAACGGCUUACCAAGGCAACGAUGCAUAGCCGACCUGAGAGGGUGAUCGGCCACACUGGAACUGAGACACGGUCCAGACUCCUACGGGAGGCAGCAGUAGGGAAUCUUCCGCAAUGGGCGAAAGCCUGACGGAGCAAGGCCGCGUGAGUGAUGAAGGUCUUCGGAUCGUAAAACUCUGUUAUUAGGGAAGAACAUAUGUGUAAGUAACUGUGCACAUCUUGACGGUACCGAAUCAGAAAGCCACGGCUAACUACGUG
rnacentral:rRNA from 1 species